rnacentral:rRNA from 1 species
GGAUUAGAUACCCGGGUAGUCCACGCCCUAAACGAUGUCAACUAGUUGUUGGUGGAGUAAAAUCCAUGAGUAACGUAGCUAACGCGUGAAGUUGACCGCCUGGGGAGUACGGUCGCAAGAUUAAAACUCAAAUGAAUUGACGGGGGCCCGCACAAGCGGUGGAUUAUGUGGAUUAAUUCGAUGCAACGCGAAAAACCUUACCUGGCCUUGACAUGUACGGAACUUUCCAGAGAUGGAUAGGUGCCUUCGGGAACCGUAACACAGGUGCUGCAUGGCUGUCGUCAGCUCGUGUCGUGAGAUGUUGGGUUAAGUCCCGCAACGAGCGCAACCCUUGCCAAUAAUUGCCAUCAUUUAGUUGGGCACUUUAUUGGGACUGCCGGUGACAAACCGGGGA